rnacentral:rRNA from 1 species
AACGUAGGAGACAAACGUUAUCCGGAGUUACUGGGCGUAAAGGGUGCGUAGGCGGGUUUUUAAGUCAGAGGUGAAAUCCUGGAGCUCAACUCCAGAACUGCCUUUGAUACUGAGAAUCUUGAGUAUGGGAGAGGUGAGUGGAACUGCGAGUGUAGAGGUGAAAUUCGUAGAUAUUCGCAAGAACACCAGUGGCGAAGGCGGCUCACUGGCCCAUAACUGACGCUGAGGCACGAAAGCGUGGGGAGCAAACAGG